CUUAUCUACCGUACCUGAGCAAGAUGGCUGGGGGGGGACUACCCCAGCUUGUUCUGAGCGAGGGGCAGGAAUACACUCAAAGUGUAUUCCUGCCUCUAACUCACAACCGUGGCCGAUUUAGUAUCUCCGAUUAACCUGUAUGCAUGUCUUUGGGAUUGGGGAAACCUAGGUGGACACGGGGAGAACAUGCAAACUCCGCACAGAGCCGAGAUUCGAUAUCACGACCUUCGUACUGUGAGGCGACAGCGCUACCCACUGAGCCACCGUGCCACCGAUUACAAUGCUUGCUUGGUAAACUAUCAAGGAUCAUCAACGAUGACGUGCCCUUAGCCUCAUAGCUCCAGGCUAGCUCCCGUAAUUAGUACUGCUCGGUUCUUCCCGGUUUAGCAAUGGCGACCUUCUACACCCGCUGUCAAUAGGAGCUCCCAAAGAUAAACAUCACUCGCGUUCAUAGGAUUUUCACAACGACUAAAGACUCAACCGGCAAAUUGGAGAAAGGCUAUUCAUUACAUGCCAUGUGUAUUUUUGCAACUACCAAGCAAUCCGCCAGGCCGUCUCCAGAUCUCUUGUGGCACGCUACCAGAAAUGUUUACACAAGAGGCAUGGAAUGUUGCCUGAUACCUCCCUGGUUUGAUGGUCAGGAGAUGGGCCUCCCUGGUUGACAGUCAGGAGAUGGGCUUCCCUGGUUUGACAAUGUGGUUGAAACCUCUAAGAAGGAGAUCGAAGACAUCCUGAUCCAGUAUCGCGGGACCUUGUUGGUGGCCGACUCCCGCCGCUCCCGGUCCGACAAGUUUGCUGGACCCAGAGCCCGCCCUCGCUACCAGAAGUCUUACUGUUAAAAAUGCUGUCUUCACUUUUAUAUACAAUAAAAAUGAAAAUGACCUAAA